AUGUUGCAGUCCGCACUGGCUGAUCAGACUACACUGUUGCAAGGUUGUGUGGCGCGGCUUGAGAGCUUUCUGGAGCGAGCGGAGGUUGCUCUGGAUAGACUAUCCCUUGUGCCGGCUCUGUUGCAGACCACUCUGACGUCACAUUCUCCUUGUGCGGCCAGUGUUUGCUCCACGGAAGACAGGGGUGAGGAGUUGUACGUCUCUUUCUCCCCUCGUGUUUGA
rnacentral:rRNA from 1 species